GACGUAGGGGGCCAGCGUUGUUCGGAAUUACUGGGUGUAAAGGGUUCGUAGGCGGUGUGGCAAGUCGGGAGUGAAAUCUAUGGGCUUAACUCAUAGGCUGCUUCCGAAACUGCUGUGCUUGAGUGUGGGAGAGGCGCGUGGAAUUGCAGGUGUAGCGGUGAAAUGCGUAGAUAUCUGCAGGAACACCCGUGGCGAAAGCGGCGCGCUGGACCACUACUGACGCUGAGGAACGAAAGCUAGGGGAGCAAACAGG
rnacentral:rRNA from 1 species